CUACGGGUUGCUCCAGUGGGGAAUAUUGCACAAUGGGGGAAACCCUGAUGCAGCAACGCCGCGUGGAGGAUGACACAUUUCGGUGCGUAAACUCCUUUUAUAUAUCAAGAUAAUGACGGUAGUAUAUGAAUAAGCACCGGCUAACUCCGUGCCAGCAGCCGCGGUAAUACGGGGGGUGCAAGCGUUACUCGGAAUCACUGGGCGUAAAGAGCAUGUAGGCUGGUAGAAAAGUUGGAAGUGAAAUCCUAUGGCUUAACCAUAGAACUGCUUCCAAAACUCUCUACCUAGAAUGUGGGAGAGGUAGAUGGAAUUUCUGGUGUAGGGGUAAAAUCCGUAGAGAUCAGAAGGAAUACCGAUUGCGAAGGCGAUCUACUGGAACACUAUUGACGCUGAGAUGCGAAAGCGUGGGGAGCAAACAGGAUUAGAUACCCGGGUAGUC
rnacentral:rRNA from 1 species